rnacentral:sRNA from 1 species
CAACAGAUAGAAAAAUAUAUUUAUAUAUCGUUACGCCUCCGAGAAAGAGCUGCCCAUUUGCGUUUCAAUCGCCGUUUAAGUGCUGCCCAGUUGUGAUUUCGCCUCUUAUAAUCAUUAACUUAUAACCACCAAGCUACCAUCAAUUACGAAUAACAAUUUGCAUUUUAAGUUUGGAAUAUACUUUUGUGAACAAAGGUUUUAUUUGCAGCAAAACUUUUUGUUCCCUGCUUUUAAAAAAAUAAUUUCCACAUAUACAGUAUAUACUGAAUUAGUGCCCAUAUUCAGUCCAGAGUUGUAAUUUAAAACAUCGAUAAAACAUCGAUGAUAAAACAGGCCACUUUUUCUUGUGUAAAACGUGACUCAAUUGGCUAUGUCAUCAUCAUCCGCACUCUGGUAUAUAAGAUGAAAAUAAUACUUUUAUUGUUCAUUAUUUUGCUGGAUGCUGGGGAAGCAAAAGACCUUCAAUGGCCUGCUCGAUGUGGGUGCUCGAUUCAAGUCAUCGAUGGUUACGUGACUGCUGAUUGCUCAGAUCAGCCAAGUGUGGACUUUGAAUGUUUGGCAACGUGGAGGCCAAAUGCCCUGAAUCUCUCAGGAAAUGGCUUGCAAGAAGUCCCAUCAUCCCUGAAUGAAACAGGGUUUGAGAACGUAAUGCACCUCGAUUUGUCCAAUAACAAGAUUGAAAGACUCUCCAGCUGGAGCUUCGGAUCAAUGCUAGGCCUGAAAAGCAUAGACCUUAGCGGAAACAAGCUUACUGACCUGCCCAGAUCUGUUGCAAAAAUAGAUCUGGUUGAUGUGAGCCACAACAAUCUGACCGAUAUUCACAGCAUAAUUGGCCUUGUUAACACUCAGGCAAUAGUAAAAGGAAACCCAAUCAGGUGCAGCUGCCGCUCUCCGAUUGUGAAGAGGAUCCAUGAAACGGAAAGGAAUGUUAGUCUGGAUUGCAUAUUUGGCGACUCGGAAGUUCCACAGCCCCAACCAACGCAGUGCCGAGAUCAAAUUAUCGAAAAUGAACCACUUCUUGGUUCUUGGAAGUUGUGUAUAUUCUUGGUGAUAGGUACUUCAACAAUUGUUGUGGCUGUCGUUAUUUUGGGGUGCCGUAGUUUCAACGUUAACUGCGACUAGCUGUGCUAAUUUGAGAAGGAAGCCACGUCGGUGUGGUUUUGAGAGCAACGUGCUUACAUGUCAAAAUUUGAUAGCUGUUGAUCAUCAUGUAUCAUCAAUAUGUAUUAACCUAAGCAAUCGUCAGAUCUUUUGAUAUGCCUCUGAUAUCCUUGCUAUACACGGAGCAGAACGGCGCAGAAUUGUCCUAAACUAAAUGUCAUCAAGCAUCAUUGUUUGUUUUUCUGCUUUUGCCUGUUUUGUAAUCUCUCCCCGCUAAAGCUUGCGCUCUGGUUAGCUUUGACGCUCUUGAGUUUGAUCUCAACUUUCGGCUGCUGUUUCUGCCGGGCCGCGCUGAUGGAGCUGUUGCAGCUACGACAAACACACAAUAAAAAUUUAGCAUAUUUAAAGAACUAUUUCU